UUGCAUGAAGAAGAUCGAAGAAGGUGAUGGUGAGCUUUUGUUCCCGUUUGGCUUAUGAGUUGAGCCUAGUCUAUGCUGGCGUUGUUUUUGGUUGGAUAAGCGAUUGAGGUUGGGUAGCUUUGGAGAGCGCGCUAGUGGUCUGUAGAUAGAUUAUCUCUUCCUUUAAUAGUUGUUGAGGCCUGUGAGCCCAA